GACGAACGCUGGCGGCGUGCUUAACACAUGCAAGUCGAACGGGCCUUGUCCCCUUUUUUUUGGGGGUGGGGUUAGUGGCGAACGGGUGAGUAACACGUGAGUAACCUGCCCCUCACUUCUGGAUAACCGCUUGAAAGGGUGGCUAAUACGGGGUGUUCUGGCCUGCUCGCAUGGGUGGGUUUGGAAAGAUUCGACCGGUUUUGGCUGUUUUGGUGGGGGAUGGGCUCGCGGCCUAUCAGCUUGUUGGUGGGGUGAUGGCCUGCCAAGGCUUUGACGGGUAGCCGGCCUGAGAGGGUGGGCGGUCACACUGGGACUGAGACACGGCCCAGACUCCUACGGGAGGCAGCAGUGGGGAAUAUUGCACAAUGGGCGCAAGCCUGAUGCAGCGACGCCGCGUGAGGGAUGGAGGCCUUCGGGUUGUGAACCUCUUUCGCCAGUGAAGAAGGUCCUGCUCUUUGUGGUGGGGUUGACGGUAGCUGGGUUAAUGAAGCGCCGGCUAACUACGUG
rnacentral:rRNA from 1 species